GCCAGUCCUUCAGAGCUGAUAAGAAGAAAUGAAGACUGUGGUUACAGUUACAGUGCAUUGUAUGUACCUGGAACUCUUCUUAGCUCUGGAUCAGGCAAUUAAAGAUAUUUUUAACUUCCAGUCUUCAAAAGGAGAAAUUGUAAGUGCAUAGCAGGCCUGCCAGGACUGGAGUGAGGAUGAAACAACACAGUCCAGUGUUUUUUAAGGAUGGGAUUGAAAUUGGCUAGGAAAGGCUGUCCAGCCUGGGAGCUGCAGAAGGGAACACAGCAGGCAAGAGGAGAGUUUCCCAACAAGGGAAAAGUGGAAGAGAUUAUUUUGAAAAACAUCUGCCACUUGGACAGCCCAAAGGAAUACAAGCAGUGGAAAUCCACUUCUCUUUUGCUGAAUGAGGACUGUCUACUUUCUAUGAAAGAUGCUGAAAACAACUUCUGAUUUGAGUGCUCCUCUUUUCUAUUCAUGAUAUUUGAAUCUUCUUUGGCUCCAAGCUGCACCAGCUGUUUUCCACCCUAAUCUUCUUUCCCGUAGCAAUCUGGCCGCGUUUGCAGCAGCGGUGGUUCCGCCGGGUGAGGAUGAAGUACUGCAGUUGUCCUUGGCGUGUUCUUGCCGGCUAAACCAGUGGAAUCUCAUUAGGGUAGAUUCCUUCAUGGCCGCUUAUGGAUGCCUUAGGGUGGAAGAUGCCUGUGGUCUGCAGAGAUAAAGGCCUUCGGAAAGGAGGAGCAGAGGCUUAUCGGUGCUGCCAGUGAAAGAUGAGCAUCUGGAGUCUUUUUAGAGUUGGGCCGGCUCUUUCUGUGCUGUUCUGUAGGCACUCAAAUAACAUUUGUGGCAAAGCUCAAAGGGCCGUACCUGUUCCUGCAGCUCUGGAAAAGCACGGCUUUAAUGGCAUUAAUGGCAUUAAUCAGCGAAGGUGCAAAACCUGGUAAUACUGGAAUAGUUUUUCCUUCUCCGGGCAGACAAUACGCUGUAGUGCUGCCUGCGGUGCUCCUCACGCAUUUGAAACCAGCCGGAGCUGCCAGCGGCAGGGCGGGAGCAGCGCUGCGGCCCUCCGGGACACACGAGAGCUCCCGGAGGAAAACACGGGCUCGCCGGGGCCGGGACAGCCGCGCACCCCGCCCCGCCCCGCCUGGCGUCAUGGAAUUCCAGGGCGCUCCCGCCAAUGGCGGCGGGGGCACGUCCGGUGGCACGGGGGGGGACCGGCCCCGCCGCUGACCUCGGGGCUCGGGCACGCCCGGCCAGGCAGGGCCGCAGCCGGGAGCGCGGAGGAGCAGCUCCGCCUGCGGGAGAAGGGAGCGGGAACCGCCGGACGGAGAGCCCUUCCUCCGCACCCCCGGGAGCGGGCAGAGCUAAAGCUGACAGGGACGAGCUAUGGAUUGUUAACCUCCGGGCAGCUUCCUGCGGCUGGGAACUGGGGCUGCCCUCUUCUAACUUUUCCAUCAUGGGAUGUGUGUGUUGUGUGGGGAAUUGAUGCCAAUUUCUGUGCCUGGCUUUUAGAGUUUACUGAGCAUUUGCAAAUAGUCUGAUUGUAUAAUACUGAACAGCUCAGAGUUCACUUUGGACUGUCCGGUAAGGUGCUGUUCUCUCAUAAAAUGCUAUGAAUAGAUAAAUCAAUCCACCAGUACUUCUGUAAGUAUAAAUAAAGUCCUUUGUGGUUUCUCUUUCCUGACAGCCACCUCUCAUAAACUCACCGUAGGGUCAGAGGUGUGUGUGUGUGUGUGUGUGUGUGUGUGUGGCAUAUCUGGUCAUGUCUGUGUAGUGCAGCCCGUUGUUUUUAUCUGAGCACUAAUGCAGACUAUCUCUAUUUUAGCAGGGUGUUCUGCCCACGAUAACACUCUCUUUCUUGUCAGGUUUGAUUAGCCCCAAGUGAAUGCUCACAUGGCUAAACCACUUCUGCUGCUGGAGGUAGUUUGGAUGUCUCCACGCAGAGCUGCAUUACAUCAUCAUCCGUAAUAAAGAUUUUGCAAAUCAAA